rnacentral:rRNA from 1 species
UCUGGUGGGUAGUUUGACUGGGGCGGUCUCCUCCUAAAGAGUAACGGAGGAGCACGAAGGUUGGCUAAUCCUGGUCGGACAUCAGGAGGUUAGUGCAAUGGCAUAAGCCAGCUUGACUGCGAGCGUGACGGCGCGAGCAGGUGCGAAAGCAGGUCAUAGUGAUCCGGUGGUUCUGAAUGGAAGGGCCAUCGCUCAACGGAUAAAAGGUACUCCGGGGAUAACAGGCUGAUACCGCCCAAGAGUUCAUAUCGACGGCGGUGUUUGGCACCUCGAUGUCGGCUCAUCACAUCCUGGGGCUGAAGUAGGUCCCAAGGGUAUGGCUGUUCGCCAUUUAAAGUGGUACGCGAGCUGGGUUUAGAACGUCGUGAGACAGUUCGGUCCCUA